rnacentral:rRNA from 1 species
AGUGAACGCUGGCGGUAGGCCUAACACAUGCAAGUCGAACGGCAGCACAGUAAGAGCUUGCUCUUACGGGUGGCGAGUGGCGGCCGGGUGAGGAAUACAUCGGAAUCUACUUUUUCGUGGGGGAUUAUGUAGGGAAACUUACGCUAAUACCGCAUACGACGUACGGGUGAAAGCAUGGGAUCUUCGGACCUUGCGCGAUUGAAUAAGCCGAUGUCGGAUUAGCUCGUUGGCGGGGUAAAGGCCCCACAAGGCCACGCUCGGUAGCUGGUCUGAGAGGAUGUUCAGCCACACUGGAAGUGAGACACGGUACACACUCCUACGGGAGGCGGCAGUGGGGAAUAUUGGACAAGGGGGGCAAGCCUGAUCCAGCCAUACCGCGUGGGUGAAGAAGGCCUUCGGGUGGUAAAGCCCUUUUGUUGGGAAAGAAGAGCAGCAGGUUAAUACCCCGCUGUUCUGACGGUACCCAAAGAAUAAGCACCGGCUAACUUCGUG